UACGGAGGGUGCGAGCGUUGUCCGGAAUUAUUGGGCGUAAAGGGUGCGUAGGCGGUGUGGUAAGUCAGCUGUGAAAUCUCCUGGCUUAACUGGGAGAAUGCAGUCGAAACUACCAGGCUGGAGUGUCGGAGAGGUGAGUGGAAUUCCUGGUGUAGCGGUGAAAUGCGUAGAUAUCAGGAAGAACACCUGUGGCGAAAGCGGCGCACUGGACCACAACUGACGCUGAGGCACGAAAGCUAGGGGAGCAAACAGG
rnacentral:rRNA from 1 species